rnacentral:rRNA from 1 species
GAUGAACGCUGGCGGCGUGCUUAACACAUGCAAGUCGAACGGGAAUUCUUUUAUUGAAACUUCGGUCGAUUUAAUUUAAUUCUAGUGGCGGACGGGUGAGUAACGCGUGGGUAACCUGCCUUAUACAGGGGGAUAACAGUCAGAAAUGGCUGCUAAUACCGCAUAAGCGCACAGAGCUGCAUGGCUCAGUGUGAAAAACUCCGGUGGUAUAAGAUGGACCCGCGUUGGAUUAGCUGGUUGGUGGGGUAACGGCCCACCAAGGCGACGAUCCAUAGCCGGCCUGAGAGGGUGAACGGCCACAUUGGGACUGAGACACGGCCCAGACUCCUACGGGAGGCAGCAGUGGGGAAUAUUGCACAAUGGGGGAAACCCUGAUGCAGCGACGCCGCGUGAAGGAAGAAGUAUCUCGGUAUGUAAACUUCUAUCAGCAGGGAAGAUAGUGACGGUACCUGACGAAGAAGCCCCGGCUAACUACGUG